GAUGAACGCUGGCGGCGUGCUUAACACAUGCAAGUCGAACGGUGAAGCAGGAGCUUGCUCUUGUGGAUCAGUGGCGAACGGGUGGGUAACACGUGAGCAACCUGCCCCUGACUCUGGGAUGAGCGCUGGAAACGGCGUCUAAUACUGGAUAUGUGAUGUGACCGCAUGGUCUGCAUCUGGAAAGAAUUUCGGUUGGAGAUGGGCUCGCGGCCUAUCAGCUUGUUGGUGAGGUAAUGGCUCACCAAGGCGUCGACGGGUAGCCGGCCUGAGAGGGUGACCGGCCACACUGGGACUGAGACACGGCCCAGACUCCUACGGGAGGCAGCGGUGGGGAAUAUUGCACAAUGGGCGGAAGCCUGAUGCAGCAACGCCGCGUGAGGGAUGACGGCCUUCGGGUUGUAAACCCCUUUUAGCAGGGAAGAAGCGAAAGUGACGGUACCUGCAGAAAAAGCACCGGCUAACUACGUGCCAGCCGCCGCAGUAA
rnacentral:rRNA from 1 species